rnacentral:rRNA from 1 species
GACGAACGCUGGCGGCGUGCUUAACACAUGCAAGUCGAACGCUGAAGCUCAGCUUUUGUUGGGUGGAUGAGUGGCGAACGGGUGAGUAACACGUGAGUAACCUGCCCCCUUCUUUGGGAUAACGCCCGGAAACGGGUGCUAAUACUGGAUAUUCACUGGUCUUCGCAUGGGGGUUGGUGGAAAGGGUUUUUCUGGUGGGGGAUGGGCUCGCGGCCUAUCAGCUUGUUGGUGGGGUGAUGGCCUACCAAGGCUUUGACGGGUAGCCGGCCUGAGAGGGUGACCGGUCACAUUGGGACUGAGAUACGGCACAGACUCCUACGGGAGGGAGCAGUGGGGAAUAUUGCACAAGGGGCGCAAGUCUGAUGCAGCGACGCCGCGUGAGGGAUGGAGGCCUUCGGGUUGUGAACCUCUUUCGCUCAUGGUCAAGCCGCAACAAUGGUUGUGGUGAGGGUAGUGGGUAAAGAAGCGCCGGCUAACUACGUG